UGGCUAAAAACACAAAGAUUAAGAAAACUAUUAUGUUUUAAAAAGUAUUGUAUAAUAAAUAGGUUAAAUAUAAUUUAACCAAUAAAAAUAAGUAUAUUUAAUUUGAUUGUUCAGACUGUAUUCAAUAAAAGUAAAAGUUAUCUAGAAAUAUGAAAACUACUUAUAUUUUGAAACAAAAAAGUUUCUCUAAAACUACUUGCAAUAUGAACGGAUGGAGUAGUAUAUUAUCCACAAGUUUGUAAGUAAAUCUGAUAAAUAUUUUUUGUUAUUGUUAUGGGGACUCAAGAUAGAGCUAGACAGCCACACAGAAGAGGAUCUCUCGGUAACUUCUCUCUCCUUGCAAUAUCUGCGCUCCGCCUCCUUUACCUUCAGACCAGUAGCAGCUCCGGUGACCGGUGCGUGGCGGCUCCGUUAGCGCCACCGCCGGUCAGAUCUGUAGUGGAUUCUCUCGUUCUUUGUUCUGCACUUUUUAGUUUUCUGUUUGAUGGAGAUAUGGUUGUUGAGGAGCUUGAGAGCUUGCGGCUUAGAGUGGUUUGUCGCAUCUACCUUGGGUCCGUUGUAUGCUGAAGCCGUUUCUGAAUGUCGUAUAUGCAGUCAUGGCUUUGGCUGGUUUUAAUUACAUAUGUUUUGAUCCAGAUCUAGAUCCAAUCCUCCAUAGUUUUCAGGUUCUUUUCAAGUUUUUCUUAUCUAAAUCUCUCCUUUAUUUUAUGGAGGUUGCUGUAGUUGAUUAGUCUUGGGAUUUAUCCUUAUCGUUUUGGAAAAAUCAUGGCUCUACCAAUGGUCUCUUGGUUUCUAAGCUUGUAAUGUUUUUGAGUUAUGGUGCUAUUGGGAACGGUUUCCUGUCUUGCUGCUGGCAUCCUUUAGUUGUCGGUGAAGUUUUGGCGGAUUGACCUCUGUUUCUCCAGUUCUUAUGUGAAUGGAGAGUUCAGUGUAAGGCUUUUAUCGAGGUUUAGUUUGGUCGCAUGAAGUGCGUCGCUGCUGCCGUAUCCGGAAGAGGAGGAGACCCUAGAGUGGUUCGAUCUUGCCGGGUUAUAAAGUCUGGGUUCGUUGGUGUGGAGAGGAGUGCUCUCAGUUUGGUGUCGUCAGAGGUUGAGGUUAUCGUUCGGUGGGCCGUGAGCGACAACGAUAAAUCCCGUUCAGAUGCACCUGAAGUUGUUGGGUUGAUGCAAGCUUGGUGUGCUAGGUUCAUUGUGAGUUCCAUCGAAUUUUC
rnacentral:lncRNA from 1 species